AUUGAACGCUGGCGGCAGGCCUAACACAUGCAAGUCGAGCGGAAACGAAGAGGUGCUUGCACCUCUGGCGUCGAGCGGCGGACGGGUGAGUAAUGCUUGGGAAUAUGCCUUAUGGUGGGGGACAACAGUUGGAAACGACUGCUAAUACCGCAUGAUGUCUACGGACCAAAGUGGGGGACCUUCGGGCCUCACGCCAUAAGAUUAGCCCAAGUGGGAUUAGCUAGUUGGUGAGGUAAUGGCUCACCAAGGCGACGAUCCCUAGCUGGUUUGAGAGGAUGAUCAGCCACACUGGGACUGAGACACGGCCCAGACUCCUACGGGAGGCAGCAGUGGGGAAUAUUGCACAAUGGGCGCAAGCCUGAUGCAGCCAUGCCGCGUGUGUGAAGAAGGCCUUCGGGUUGUAAAGCACUUUCAGUAAGGAGGAAAGGUUAAGUGUUAAUAGCGCUUAGCUGUGACGUUACUUACAGAAGAAGCACCGGCUAACUCCGUGCCAGCAGCCGCGGUAAUACGGAGGGUGCGAGCGUUAAUCGGAAUUACUGGGCGUAAAGCGUACGCAGGCGGUUUGUUAAGCGAGAUGUGAAAGCCCCGGGCUCAACCUGGGAACUGCAUUUCGAACUGGCAAACUAGAGUGUGAUAGAGGGUGGUAGAAUUUCAGGUGUAGCGGUGAAAUGCGUAGAGAUCUGAAGGAAUACCGAUGGCGAAGGCAGCCACCUGGGUCAACACUGACGCUCAUGUACGAAAGCGUGGGGAGCAAACAGG
rnacentral:rRNA from 1 species